rnacentral:antisense_RNA from 1 species
CUUGACCGAGCCGAGCCACAGCGGCCGGUCCUCGGGCCGCUCCUGGCCGUACGCCGCGAGCAGCGCCUGCGCCUC